GGAUCAGCAUGCCGCGGUGAAUACGUUCCCGGGUCUUGUACACACCGCCCGUCACACCACGAGAGUUUACAACACCCGAAGUCGGUGGGGUAACCCGCAAGGGGGCCAGCCGCCGAAGGUGGGGUAGAUGAUUGGGGUGAAGUCGUAACAAGGUAGCCGUAUCGGAAGGUGCGGCUGGAUCACCUCCUUUCUAUGGAGA
rnacentral:rRNA from 1 species